CCCUUAGAUGUUCUGGGCCGCACGCGUGCUACACUGAGUGGAUCAGCGGGUCAGGUUGCGCGAAAGUGUUUCCUAAUCUUGAAAUCCGCUCGUGAUGGGGAUUGACGGUUGCAAUUUUCCGUCAUGAACGAGGAAUACCUUGUAAGCGCGGGUCAUCAUCCCGCGCUGAAUACGUCCCUGCCUUUUGUACACACCGCCCGUCGCUCCUACCGAUUGAGUGGUCCGGUGAGGCUUUGGGAUCUGAGCGGAAAGAGCGUUUCGCUGUUUCUGCUCGGAAAACUCAGUCGAACCUUAUCAUUUAGAGGAAGGAGAAGUCGUAACA
rnacentral:rRNA from 1 species